rnacentral:rRNA from 1 species
UUGGGUUAAGUCCCGUAACGAGCGCAACCCUUGUCCUCAGUUACCAGCACGUUAUGGUGGGCACUCUAAGGAGACUGCCGGUGACAAACCGGAGGAAGGUGGGGAUGACGUCAAGUCAUCAUGGCCCUUACGGCCUGGGCUACACACGUGCUACAAUGGUCGGUACAAAGGGUUGCCAAGCCGCGAGGUGGAGCUAAUCCCAUAAAACCGAUCGUAGUCCGGAUCGCAGUCUGCAACUCGACUGCGUGAAGUCGGAAUCGCUAGUAAUCGUGAAUCAGAAUGUCACGGUGAAUACGUUCCCGGGCCUU